UACGUAGGGGGCCAGCGUUGCUCGGAAUUACUGGGCGUAAAGGGUCCGUAGGCGGUGCGGUAAGUCGGGAGUGAAAUCUCUGGGCUUAACUCAGAGGCUGCUUCCGAAACUACCGUGCUAGAGUGCGAGAGAGGCAAGUGGAAUUGCGGGUGUAGCGGUGAAAUGCGUAGAUAUCCGCAGGAACAUCCGAGGCGAAAGCGGCUUGCUGGAUCGCAACUGACGCUGAGGGACGAAGGCUAGGGUAGCAAACAGG
rnacentral:rRNA from 1 species